rnacentral:rRNA from 1 species
AUUGAACGCUGGCGGAAUGCUUUACACAUGCAAGUCGAACGGCAGCACGGACUUCGGUCUGGUGGCGAGUGGCGAACGGGUGAGUAAUGUAUCGGAACGUGCCCAGUCGUGGGGGAUAACGUAGUGAAAAUUACGCUAAAACCGCAUACGAUCUAUGGAUGAAAGCGGGGGAUCGCAAGACCUCGCGCGAUUGGAGCGGCCGAUAUCAGAUUUGGUAGUUGGUGGGGUAAAGGCCCACCAAGCCAACGAUCUGUAGCUGGUCUGAGAGGACGACCAGCCACACGGGACCUGAGACACGGUCCAGACUCCUACGGGAGGCAGCAGUGGGGAAUGUUGGACAAUGGGCGAAAGCCUGAUCCAGCCAUUCCGCGUGCAGGAUGAAGGCCCUCGGGUUGUAAACUGCUUUUGUACAGAACGAAAAGGUUUCUACUAAUACUAGGAGCUCAUGACGGUACUGUAAGAAUAAGCACCGGCUAACUACGUGCCAGCAGCCGCCGCGG